rnacentral:lncRNA from 1 species
AGGAGUCGCUGCUGAGCUCAGCCAGCGGUUACAGCAAUUACCGCGGGGUGCUUAAUUGGUGCGUCGUUAUGCUGGUGAGUGGCGGCCGCUUAAUUGCGCUCAUUAAGGCCCAGGUUCCUUAGCGGGGAAUUGAAAGUGGGGGGGGGCGAAAGGGGAGGGGGGUGAAAAAAGUCUCGGGGUGACACAAUGGGGUUCUAUGGAGUGAAAAAAGUCUCAGGGGGCUGCAAUGGGUUCUUUGGGGUGAAAAAAGUCCUGGGGUGACACAGUGGGGUUCUGUGGGGUGAAAAAAGUCCUGGGGCGCCACAGUGGGGUUCUAUGGGGUGACAGGAUGCGGUUCUAUGGGGUGACACAGUGGGGUUCUAUGGGGUGAAAAACGUCCUGGGAGGCCACAGUGGCAUUUUAUGGUGUGAAAAAAGUCCCAGGGAGAAACAGUGAGGUUCUAUGGGGUGAAAAAAGUCCCAGGCGGCCACAAUGGGGUUCUAUGGGGUGACACAGUGGGGUUCUGUGGGGUGAAAAAAGUCCCAGGGAGAAACAGUGGGGUUCUAUGGGGUGAAAAAGUCCCGAGGGGCCACAAUGGGGUCCUGUGGGGUGACACAAUGGGGUCCUAUGGGGUGACACAGUGGGGUUCUAUGGGGUGACAGGAUGGGGUUCUGUGGGGUGAAAAAAGUCCCGGGGUGACGCAAAUGUGAGCCUCAAGGUGACAAAAGUGUCCUUCGGGGUGACAUGAGUGAGUCCUUGGGGUGACAAAAGGCUCGGGGUGACACAAAUAGGUCCCUUGAAGUGACACGAGUUGAGUCCUUGGGGUGACCAAAGUCUUGGGGUGACAAAGGGCUCAGGGUGACACAAAGGAGUCCAUGGGGUGACACUGAAGGUGUCCUUGUGGUGACACGCGUCUCAGGUUGACACUUAGAAGUCCUUGGGGUGACACGAAGGUGACCUCGGGGUGACAAAAGUCUCAGGGUGACACAGAGAGGUCCAGCCGGGUGAUACCAGCGAGUCCUUGGGGGUGACAGGAGUGUCAGGGUGACACAGGUGGGUCCCUUCAGGGUGACACAAGUCUCAGGGUGACGGAAAGGAGACCCUAUGGGUGACAUGAGCGAGUCCUUGGGGUGACGGAGGUCCUGGGGUGACAACAGGGAAUCCCUCAAGGUGACAAAAGUUGAUAAAAGUCUGAGGGCGGCAGAGAGGAGUCCUCAGGGUGACACCGAUGUGCUCCUUGGGGUGACAGAAAUCUCGGGGUGACACAGAGGUGUCUAUGGGGUGACACAGAUGGGUCCUUUGGGGUGACAGGUGUGAGUCCUUGGGGUGACAAAAGGCUCCAGGUGACACAAAUGGGUCCCUUGAAGUGACACGAGUUGAGUCUUCGGGGUGACCAAGGUCUUGGGGUGACAAAGGGCUCAGGGUGCCACAAACGAGUCCUUGGGAUGACAAAAGUCAGGGUGACACAAGUGAGGCCUUCAGGGUGACAGGAGCUGUCGGGUGACGCAGAUGCGUCCUUUAGGGUGACACAGGCGUGUCCUUUGGGGUGACAGGAGCUGUGGGGUGACAGAGAUGUGUCCUUUGGGGUGACAAAAGUCUCAGGGUGACACAGAUGUGUCCUUUAGGGUGACACGAGCUGUAGGGUGACAGAGACCUGUC